GUACCGUUACAUAAGCAUUGCCCUAAGAAAAACAUCAAGAAUCGGACUUCAAAUGUUAAACUUAGGUACAACUUUGUAAAAGAAGGGUUCUCCACUAAAUUCAUAAGACCAACUUCUAUAUUCCAUGACCAGAAUUCAUGAUCUUCUUUGCUCAGUUGGAUAUUGGAAGUCAUCGCACUUCGUGAGCCAUAGCCAAGAAGAAGCAGCAUGGUUUGCCUAGUCAUCAACCGCCAUUCUCUUCACUAACUUUCUCUUCCGUGCGACCACACUCCACUUCUUGAUCCUGAAGCUCGUUCCUUUCCAUAUUUCCAGUUUGGCAGACAUUGAAUCGGGCUCAUUCUCGUGGUAUCCUUGCUCGGCUUCGCCUCAACAGCUACACCAAAGCUUGUAACGUGAGAAAUUUCUUGAUGCGGGUAUAAGAACGGGCCAAAUUACUCGUCCAAAUUCCUUCACCGUCGCGCGAACCUGGG
rnacentral:lncRNA from 1 species